rnacentral:rRNA from 1 species
GUGCCAGCCGCCGCGGUAACACGUAGGCACCAAGCGUUGUCCGGAUUUAUUGGGCGUAAAGAGCUCGUAGGCGGUUUGGUAAGUCGGGUGUGAAAACUCUGGGCUCAACCCAGAGAGGCCACUCGAUACUGCUAUGACUUGAGUACGGUAGGGGAGUGGGGAAUUUCUAGUGUAGCGGUGAAAUGCGCAGAUAUUAGAAGGAACACCAGUGGCGAAGGCGCCACUCUGGGCCGUAACUGACGCUGAGGAGCGAAAGCAUGGGUAGCAAACAGGAUUAGAAACCCUUGUAGUCC